rnacentral:rRNA from 1 species
AGCCACCGCGGUAAUUCCAGCUCCAAUAGCGUAUAUUAAAGUUGUUGCAGUUAAAAAGCUCGUAGUUGAAUUUCGGGGUUAGUAGGUUGGUCAUGCCUCUGGUAUGUACUGGUCUCACUGAUUCCUCCUUCCUGAUGAGCCGUAAUGCCAUUAAUUUGGUGUUGCGGGGAAUUUGGACUGUUACUUUGAAAAAAUUAGAGUGUUUAAAGCAAGCUAACGCUUGAAUACAUUAGCAUGGAAUAAUGAAAUAGGACGUUCGAUCCUAUUUUGUUGGUUUCUAGGAUUGACGUAAUGAUUAAUAGGGAUAGUUGGGGGCAUUAGUAUUCAAUUGUCAGAGGUGAAAUUCUUGGAUUUAUUGAAGACUAACUACUGCGAAAGCAUUUGCCAAGGAUGUUUUCAUUAAUCAAGAACGAAAGUUAGGGGAUCGAAGACGAUCAGAUACCGUGCGUAGUCUUAACCAUAAACUAUGCCGACUAGGGAUCGGAUGAUGUUAAUUUUUUAAUGACUCA